UUUUCCUCAAUAUAGCUAACCUUCAAUUUGUAUAAUUGAAAAACAUCAGAACGGCCACGUCGUCGUCUCUCAUCCUCCUCAAAAACUCUCUCAAGAGAGACAACUUUCUCAAUAAUACAUGAUUUUGAUUUAUUUUUAAUCAUCUUUUUCCAGAAAAACAGCUGAGAGAACCCAAUUUAGUCACCAUUGAAGAUGCUCUUACAUUGUUUAGAAAAACAGGGAGAUAAACAAUUUAUCUUUUCUGAAA
rnacentral:sRNA from 1 species